AGGAUAAACGCUGGCGGCGUGCCUAACACAUGCAAGUCGAACGCGCUUUCGGGCUUCGGUGCGAGAGCGAGUGGCGGACGGGUGAGUAACACAUGGGUACCUACCUUGGAGUGAGGGAUACCGGCGAGAAAUCGCCGACAAUACCGCAUAGGCUUCUUCACAAGGGAAGCAAAGUGACGCGAGUCACGCUUUGAGAUGGGCCUGUGGCCGAUUAGCUAGUUGGGGGGGUAACGGCUUCCCAAGGCGACGAUCGGUAGCUGGUCUGAGAGGACGAUCAGCCACACUGGGAUUGAGAACGGCCCAGACUCCUACGGGGGGCAGCAGUGAGGAAUUUUCCGCAAUGGAGGCAACUCUGACGGAGCAACGCCGCGUGCAGGAGGAAGGUUUUCGGAUCGUAAACUGCUUUUCUCGGGGACGAGCAAGGACGGUACCCGAGGACGAAGCCCGGCUAACUACGCGCCAGCAGCCGC
rnacentral:rRNA from 1 species